rnacentral:rRNA from 1 species
UAGCAUAUCAAUAAGCGGAGGAAAAGAAACCAACAGGGAUUGCCUCAGUAACGGCGAGUGAAGCGGCAACAGCUCAAAUUUGAAAUCUGGCGGCCUCUGGGCCGUCCGAGUUGUAAUUUGAAGAGGAUGCUUUUGGCGAGGCGCCUUCCGAGUGCCCUGGAACGGGACGCCACAGAGGGUGAGAGCCCCGUAUGGUUGGACGCCGAGCCUCUGUAAAGCUCCUUCGACGAGUCGAGUAGUUUGGGAAUGCUGCUCAAAAUGGGAGGUAAACCCCUUCUAAAGCUAAAUACUGGCCAGAGACCGAUAGCGCACAAGUAGAGUGAUCGAAAGAUGAAAAGCACUUUGAAAAGAGAGUUAAAUAGCACGUGAAAUUGUUGAAAGGGAAGCGCUUGCGACCAGACUUGUGCCCGUCGAAUCAGCCGCCGCUCGCCGGCGGCGCACUUCGGCGGGCUCAGGCCAGCAUCAGUUCGCUGCAGGGGGAGAAAGGCGGCGGGAAUGUGGCUCUUCGGAGUGUUAUAGCCCGCCGCGCAAUACCCCUCGGCGGACUGAGGACCGCGCAUCUGCAAGGAUGCUGGCGUAAUGGUCGUCAGCGACCCGUCUUGAAACACGGACCAAGGAGUCGUCCUAAUAUGCGAGUGUUCGGGUGUAAAACCCCUGCGCGUAAUGAAAGUGAACGGAGGUGAGAGCUUCGGCGCAUCAUCGACCGAUCCUGAUGUUCUCGGAUGGAUUUGAGUAAGAGCAUAUUGGGCCGGACCCGAAAGAAGGUGAACUAUGCCUGUAUAGGGUAAAGCCAGAGGAAACUCUGGUGGAGGCUCGCAGCGGUUCUGACGUGCAAAUCGAUCGUCAAAUAUGGGCAUGGGGGCGAAAGACUAAUCGAACCUUCUAGUAGCUGGUUUCCGCCGAU